rnacentral:rRNA from 1 species
ACAAAAACAUGGCCUUUAGGGAAGAAUUUAAGGUCGGGCCUGCCCACUGAAAUAGUUGAAGGGCCGCGGUAUUUUGACCGUGCAAAGGUAGCAUAAUCAUUAGUCUUUUAAUUGAGGGCUGGAAUGAAUGGUUUGACGAAAUAUUGACUGUCUCUUUAUAAUAAAUAGAAUUUAACUUUUGAGUCAAAAGGCUUAAAUGAAUGUAAAAGACGAGAAGACCCUAUAGAUCUUUAUAUAGUUCUAUAAUUGCUUUAUUUAGUUGUUUUAUUUACAAUUAUUUAACUAUAUUUUGUUGGGGUGACAUGAAGAUAAAAAUAACUCUUUAUAAUAAGAACAUUGAUUUAUGGAUGAUUGAUCCGUUAUUAACGAUUAUAAGAUAAAGUUACCUUAGGGAUAACAGCGUAAUUUUUUUUGAGAGUUCUUAUCGACAAAAAAGAUUGCGACCUCGAUGUUGGAUUAAGGAAUAUGAUUAGGUGUAGCAGUUUAAUUAAUAAGUCUGUUCGACUUUUAAAUCCUUACGUCAUCUGAGU